CCCACUCAGGCUCUUGCUUUGCUUACUGUUGCUCAAAGUGCUUUAGUGGUAAGCCGGAGCCAAAUAUUCGAGAACUGUAUUGUGGUUGGGAUACGAAGCUCUCGUGCAAGUAACUGACCAGAAUACAGUACUCGCUCAAGCUUACUACUAAACAUAUCUGAUCUCUUCCAGUCAUUCUGCCUCGCUUCACUCUCUCACUCGUUGCCUCUAGUCUUUCACUCGACGUCACUGCUGUCUCGAGUUCUUGGUGCUAUUGUGGUGGUGCUGUGGGUCUAUUCUCUCUGUGACAUCUUGCUUGUUGUUCUCAUACUAUAUAUGCAUGCCUUCUAGAUGCUGUGCUUGAAGGUGUUGGCGAUGCUAGUAGCAGCAGCAGCUUUUCGAGACAUCGAAUAUUAAGAGCAUUGCAAUAUUGGGCUUGGACCUGCUGCGGGCCUUUGAGUACGGAGCGACCGCAACUGAACUCGGCCUACCCGGGUCAAUGGGUAGCUAUCUGGACGUUGGUGGAGGGCUUCAUGGAGGAGGACUGGGAGGUGGGGUCCAUGGAGUGCCAUGGAGGAGACCUCUCGGAGGCAGCGAUGGCUACGUGUCCUGUCCGCAGUGCCAGAAACCCAUUACCUCGUAUAACCUCAACCGCCAUGUUCGGAUGGUCCAUUCUAAUAUGGAACAUGCAACUUGUCCUGUCUGUUGCAAAGAAUUUAAGAACAAAUACUCCUUAGCUACACACAUGCACAGACAGCACUCAGACCCCUCCAGUAGUGGACACCCUCGGACUGCCUGUUAGAUAUCCCGUGUUUUUUUUUCAGAGUUUAAGUGUAAAGAUAGAUCUUUUUUAUACCUUUGGCAACAUUAACGAUGCAGCUCGUAAGAUAUUUUUUGUUCGGUGUGCACAAAGCGUCUUUUGUUUUUGUCUUUCCAAAGAUUUUAUAUUAGAAAAGUAUCUGUCAUAGAUGACAGAGGUGAUUCUGUGGUUGUGUUGAUGACAUACAGUCAACAUUUCCUGGGAGCUGAUCUCAGUAUGGGCGAGACUUUUACUCUAGUGAAGUGAGAUGCGUCUUAAGCAGAAGUAAAAACUGCCUUCAUAACCUUGUGAAAAGUUGUAUAGUUCAGUUAUUUAUUGAUUUAAUUUUCCUUCGAGACACAGAAACAGUGAUAACGACGAGUGUAGAGUACACAAGCAUUUCAGAUUCAUCCGCAGUGUAUUUUUCUCUCUCUUACUUUAGAUACACACAUUCAGAGUGCUUAUAUUACAUACGUACAUAUUGUAUAUAUGUGACUGGGAUUCAAACUCGAUGUCUGGUGGUCCUAGAAUUACGAGCCUACUCAGAUAUGGACAACUUGAGGAAAUUAAAACUGUAUCAGUCAGAGUAUACAACAAAUUCUAAUUAUACAAUAGAUCAAAAAACUAAUGUGAAGGACCUGGGAGUGAUAAUGUCAGAGGAUCUCACCUUCAAAGACCACAAACAAUGUAUCUACAUCAUCUGGUAGAAAAAUGAUAGGAUGGAUAAUGAGAACCUUCAAAAAUAGGGACACCAAACCCAUGAUGAUUCUCUUGAAAUCUCUUGUUCUCUAGGGUGGAAUACUGUUGUACACUAACUGCCCCAUUCAAGGCAGGCGAAAUUGCUGACCUAGAGAGUGUAUGAAGAACUUUCACGGCAGACACAAUUACAAUAAAGCACCUAAAUUACUGGAAAUGGUUGAAGUCCCUUGAUUUGUAUUCCCUGGAAUGCAGGCGAGAAAGAUACGUUAUAAUAUACUCUUUGAAAAUCCUAGAGAGAUUACAACCAAACUUGCACGCGAAAAUCACUCCCUACGAAAGGAAAAUACUCAGCAGGAGAUGCAACAUCCUCCCAAUGAAAAGCAGCAGGGGUGCCACAUGUACACUAAGAGACAACACAAUAAGUGUUAGGGGCCCAAGACUGUUCACCUGCCUCCCAGCAUACGUAAGGGGGAUUACCAGUAGACCCCUGGUUGUCUUCAAGAAGGCACUAGUCAGUACCUGAUUAGCCGGGCUGUGGUUCUUCUGUCGGUUUAUGUAACAGCCUGGUUGAUCAGACCCUGAUCUACCACGAGGCCUGGUCUUAGACCAGGCUGUGGGAAUGUUGACCCCCGAAACCCUCUCCAGGUAUACUCCAGGUAUACCAUAGUAAGUUACAUUGAUUCCCCUACCAUAACACUGGGAAUGUUGGUGAUGGCCAUUAAUUGCAACAUAUUUAUUUAUUUAUUCAUUAUUAAUUUCUUGUACAAAGAAAUACAGUGGUUAAGUGUAACAUGCCAAAAGCCCCUUGUAUGCAGAGCAUUAUGGGCAGGCUUAAAAUUAACUUAAGAAUAACUAAGCAAUGAUAUAUUCAGUGGUAAAAAUUAUAGUGAACAAAUAACAAUUAAGCACAAAUGAGUAUUUCAAAGACAGGUUAUAUGGUCAUUUGCUGAGUUGCUGUACAUUCAGUAGAAUGGAGUACUGUAUUUCGUUAGGUAAUGUAAUUAAAAAAACAAAGUUUGAUAGGGUCACAGGUAAAACAUUUAUGAAAUACAGUUAUUCAGUGUUUAUUUAGUUGUGGGUGAGUAAGUGAUUUUUAAGAAGAGUCUUGAAUUUAUAAACAGACAAUGUUUCUUUUACAUUCACGGGUAAUGAAUUCCAGAUUUUUGGGCCUUUUAUGUGCAUUGAGUUUUUGCAUAGUGUGAGAUGGUUUAAUAGUCAUCAUCAAGUGUAUCAGUGUCCUAGAUGGAGAAUCAGUGUUGUUGAUACAGUGGGUGAGGCAAUGACCUCAGAGUUCUAGGACUGUGAGAUAGCCGGCUUGAUUUUCAGUCACUGGUGUUACAUGAGAUCAUUAAGAUUUUUUAACACAUGCACACACACACACACACACAUACACACACAGGGCCAGGAGCUAUAAUUCGACCCCUACAACCACAAUAGGUCAGUACACACACACACACACACACACUUAGUGCCAUACACUCUUUCCAAUAAAUGUGCUAUUGUGAUUUUCAUUUCCCAUUUAUGCAAGCCACUAAUGUAUACAUAGAUGGGCAACUUUUCCUCUCUUGUUACCAGUAUUAAUGUUACCAUCAUUGGUUGUUUUCAUAAUUAAAAACCAGCAUUUAUAUUCUGUAACAUCACUUACAGUGUGAUGGUUCGGUUCACUAUGCCUUUAGCAGCAUUUUUUGUGUAUAUCAUGAAUUUUCAGCUCAUUUUUUUUGAAACUGUUCAUCUGUGACAUAUGUAUUUGAUUAUGUAGAGUGAUGCAUAAGUCUGCAACCCUAGGGAAGAUAAAACAAUGCAAAUGUGCAACACUAAUGCAUGCAACAUCUGCCUUAAUACCAGUUACAGUGAACUUUGUGUGACUAUAUCAAAAUUAUUUCCUGCUUACCACCAAAAUUACAGUGUUUUGACUAAAAAAUAUAUUUUUAGUCAAAAUACGUAUACCUGGUGGGGGUUCCGGGGGUCAGUGCCCCCGUGGCACGGACCUAACUAUGUAAUCUCUUUAGAUUUUACUGUACAAUUCAUAUGAUUUUUUUUAGUAAUGUUUGAAAUAUUAAAAAAAAAUAGAAAAAUGGAAUCGCUGAACGGAAUCUGUUGAUGAAUGCAGUUUAUUGCAUUUUUUCCCGUUUUCUCUCUACAUGGUUCCAAACUUAUGCAGCGCUGAUGUUCCUUUAUUUAAUUUAAUAAAAAAAUACCUAGA